rnacentral:rRNA from 1 species
GCAUAUCAAUAAGCGGAGGAAAAGAAAAUAACAAUGAUUCCCCCAGUAACGGCGAGUGAAGAGGGAAGAGCUCAAAGUUGGAACCUGUUUGGCUUAGUCAAACCGGAUUGUAAACUGGAGAAGUGUUUUCCUGGCACGCCAGACUGAUAAGUCCUUUGGAACAGGGCAUCAUAGAGGGUGAGAAUCCCGUGAUCGGUCUGAGCUGUUGUCUUUUGUGAUACACUUUCAAAGAGUCAGGUUGUUUGGGAAUGCAGCCUAAAUUGGGUGGUAAAUCUCACCUAAAGCUAAAUAUUGGCGAGAGACCGAUAGCGAACAAGUACCGUGAGGGAAAGAUGAAAAGAACUUUGAAAAGAGAGUUAAACAGUAUGUGAAAUUGUUGAAAGGGAACCGUUUGGAGCCAGACUGGCUUUGUCGUGAUCAAUCUGGGUUUCGACCUUGAUGCACUGACGACAGACGCCUGCCAUCGACAGUUUUGUUUGGAGGAAAAAACUAUUGGUAAUGUAGCCUCUCGGGGUGUUAUAGACCUUUAGAAAAUACUCCGGAUGGGACUGAGGAACGCAGUGGAUGCCUUUGGCGAAAUUGCUAGGCGCUUUUGUUGAUACAUGCUGGAAUUUCUGCUUCGGGUGGUGCCAGUGUCUAAAGAUAAAACUCGCUUGGUAUAUUUUCUAUCCACUUAGGUUGAUGGCUUAAUGACUCUAAAUGACCCGUCUUGAAACACGGACCAAGGAGUUCAUCAUAGGUGCAAGUAUUUGGGUGCCAAACCCAUAUGCGCAAGGAAACUGAUGGAUAUGAAACCGUAAGGUGGCAAUAUCACCCAGCGAUGAGGCUAUUUGCCGAACUGACUGAGGUAAAGCACUUAUGCUGAGACCCGAAAGAUGUGUGAACUAUGCCUGAGUAGGGUGAAGCCGGAGGAAACUCCGGUGGAGGCUCGUAGCGAUUCUGACGUGCAAAUCGAUCGUCAAACUUGGGUAUAGGGGCGAAAGACUAAUCGAACCAUCUAGUAGCUGGUUCUGCG